GAUCAUGACUCAGGAUGAACGCUGGCGGCGUGCCUAACACAUGCAAGUCGAACGAAGCUUGACGGAUGAUUUCUUCGGAAUGAAACCAGAUAUGACUUAGUGGCGGACGGGUGAGUAACACGUGAGCAACCUGCCUUUCAGAGGGGGGAUAACGGCUGGAAACGGUCGCUAAUACCGCAUGACGUGUUCGGAUGGCAUCAUCUGAACAUCAAAGAUUUAUCGCUGAAAGA
rnacentral:rRNA from 1 species